rnacentral:rRNA from 1 species
GGUCAAGUGAAGAAGCGCAUACGGUGGAUGCCUUGGCAGUCAGAGGCGAUGAAAGACGUGGUAGCCUGCGAUAAGCUUUGGGGAGUCGGCAAACAGACUGUGAUCCAGAGAUCUCUGAAUGGGGGAACCCACUCAGCACAAGCUGAGUAUCUUGUACUGAAUACAUAGGUACAAGAGGCGAACCAGGGGAACUGAAACAUCUAAGUACCCUGAGGAAAAGAAAUCAACCGAGAUUCCCUUAGUAGUGGCGAGCGAACGGGGACCAGCCCUUAAGCUGGUUUGAGAUUAGUGGAACGCUCUGGAAAGUGCGGCCAUAGUGGGUGAUAGCCCCGUACACGAAAAUCUCUUGCCAGUGAAAUCGAGUAGGACGGAGCACGAGAAACUUUGUCUGAACAUGGGGGGACCAUCCUCCAAGGCUAAAUACUACUGACUGACCGAUAGUGAACCAGUACCGUGAGGGAAAGGCGAAAAGAACCCCGGAGAGGGGAGUGAAAUAGAACCUGAAACCGUAUGCGUACAAGCAGUGGGAGCCUACUUUGUUAGGUGACUGCGUACCUUUUGUAUAAUGGGUCAGCGACUUAUAUUCAGUGGCGAGCUUAACCGAAUAGGGGAGGCGUAGCGAAAGCGAGUCUUAAUAGGGCGUUUAGUCGCUGGGUAUAGACCCGAAACCGGGCGAUCUAUCCAUGGGCAGGUUGAAGGUUAGGUAACACUGACUGGAGGACCGAACCGACUACCGUUGAAAAGUUAGCGGAUGACCUGUGGAUCGGAGUGAAAGGCUAAUCAAGCUCGGAGAUAGCUGGUUCUCCUCGAAAGCUAUUUAGGUAGCGCCUCAUGUAUCACUGUAGGGGGUAGAGCACUGUUUCGGCUAGGGGGUCAUCCCGACUUACCAAACCGAUGCAAACUCCGAAUACCUACAAGUGCCGAGCAUGGGAGACACACGGCGGGUGCUAACGUCCGUCGUGAAAAGGGAAACAACCCAGACCGUCAGCUAAGGUCCCAAAGUCAUGGUUAAGUGGGAAACGAUGUGGGAAGGCUUAGACAGCUAGGAGGUUGGCUUAGAAGCAGCCACCCUUUAAAGAAAGCGUAAUAGCUCACUAGUCGAGUCGGCCUGCGCGGAAGAUGUAACGGGGCUCAAACCAUGCACCGAAGCUACGGGUAUCACCUUUAGGUGAUGCGGUAGAGGAGCGUUCUGUAAGCCUGUGAAGGUGAGUUGAGAAGCUUGCUGGAGGUAUCAGAAGUGCGAAUGCUGACAUGAGUAACGACAAUGCGAGUGAAAAACUCGCACGCCGAAAGACCAAGGUUUCCUGCGCAACGUUAAUCGACGCAGGGUUAGUCGGUCCCUAAGGCGAGGCUGAAAAGCGUAGUCGAUGGAAAACAGGUUAAUAUUCCUGUACUUCCAGUUAUUGCGAUGGAGGGACGGAGAAGGCUAGGCCAGCUUGGCGUUGGUUGUCCAAGUUUAAGGUGGUAGGCUGAGAUCUUAGGCAAAUCCGGGAUCUCAAGGCCGAGAGCUGAUGACGAGUGCUCAUUAGAGCGCGAAGUGGUUGAUGCCAUGCUUCCAAGAAAAGCUCCUAAGCUUCAGAUAACUGGGAACCGUACCCCAAACCGACACAGGUGGUUAGGUAGAGAAUACCAAGGCGCUUGAGAGAACUCGGGUGAAGGAACUAGGCAAAAUGGCACCGUAACUUCGGGAGAAGGUGCGCCGGCGAGGGUGAAGGACUUGCUCCGUAAGCCCAUGCCGGUCGAAGAUACCAGGCCGCUGCGACUGUUUAUUAAAAACACAGCACUCUGCAAACACGAAAGUGGACGUAUAGGGUGUGACGCCUGCCCGGUGCCGGAAGGUUAAUUGAUGGGGUUAGCGCAAGCGAAGCUCUUGAUCGAAGCCCCGGUAAACGGCGGCCGUAACUAUAACGGUCCUAAGGUAGCGAAAUUCCUUGUCGGGUAAGUUCCGACCUGCACGAAUGGCGUAACGAUGGCGGCGCUGUCUCCACCCGAGACUCAGUGAAAUUGAAAUCGCUGUGAAGAUGCAGUGUAUCCGCGGCUAGACGGAAAGACCCCGUGAACCUUUACUAUAGCUUUGCACUGGACUUUGAAUUUGCUUGUGUAGGAUAGGUGGGAGGCUUUGAAGUGGGGACGCCAGUUCUCAUGGAGCCAUCCUUGAAAUACCACCCUGGCAACUUUGAGGUUCUAACUCAGGUCCGUUAUCCGGAUCGAGGACAGUGUAUGGUGGGUAGUUUGACUGGGGCGGUCUCCUCCCAAAGAGUAACGGAGGAGUACGAAGGUGCGCUCAGACCGGUCGGAAAUCGGUCGUAGAGUAUAAAGGCAAAAGCGCGCUUGACUGCGAGACAAACACGUCGAGCAGGUACGAAAGUAGGUCUUAGUGAUCCGGUGGUUCUGUAUGGAAGGGCCAUCGCUCAACGGAUAAAAGGUACUCCGGGGAUAACAGGCUGAUACCGCCCAAGAGUUCAUAUCGACGGCGGUGUUUGGCACCUCGAUGUCGGCUCAUCACAUCCUGGGGCUGAAGCCGGUCCCAAGGGUAUGGCUGUUCGCCAUUUAAAGUGGUACGCGAGCUGGGUUUAGAACGUCGUGAGACAGUUCGGUCCCUAUCUGCCGUGGACGUUUGAGAUUUGAGAGGGGCUGCUCCUAGUACGAGAGGACCGGAGUGGACGAACCUCUGGUGUUCCGGUUGUCACGCCAGUGGCAUUGCCGGGUAGCUAUGUUCGGAAGAGAUAACCGCUGAAAGCAUCUAAGCGGGAAACUUGCCUCAAGAUGAGAUCUCACUGGAACCUUGAGUUCCCUAAAGGGCCGUCGAAGACUACGACGUUGAUAGGUUGGGUGUGUAAGCGCUGUGAGGCGUUGAGCUAACCAAUACUAAUUGCCCGUGAGGCUUGACCAU